UGUGGAAAGAUUCACUGGUUAAAGCUUCUCAAGUUAAAUAUAAUAGGAUUUUCUCUGUGCUCUACAAUAUUACUCUGAAAAUCUUGCGAUUUAAGACUGUGAAUGAGUCACAAGUAGUGAAUGUGCACCUAAUUUUCUAAACUAAUAUGUACAUGGGAAACACGUCAUGGGAGGUUUCCUGGAAAUAACUGGUAAUCAGUACUGUAACUUAGUUAUAAGACAAACACAAGCAGAUGUUGCCUUUAAAAUUAAAGUACAAAUUAAACAUACUGCAAUUCAACUGAAAAAAAAAAAAAAAAAAGAAGAAGGUUUCUUUGCAGUUUCUUUGCAAAAUACUGAUAUAGCCAUAUUAUCGUUAACCUGCCUAUGCUAAGGGUUGCCCUGCAGCGGCCGUCUUAUGGUCAGUGUAGAUGCAAAGAUUUUUUUGUGUAAGUUUUUAUUCAGGAGGACUAACUACUAUCCUUCUGUCUUCCAAGGAGUCAUAUGUCAGCAGGAACAAUAAUAACAUUCCUAGUGAAUAUAAAUUGUAAUAUUAAAAUAUUUACCAUAAGAAAAAAAUAUCGAUUUCUAUAGCUAAAAAGUGAAUAUAAGUGAUAUGUAAAUAGUAACAAUAUAUAUAUACAUAUUAACACGAAAUGUCUGAUGCUGAUCAGCUGAUCUUCAUAGUAGUUAAUAAACCGGCGGCUUUAGGACCCAGAUUCCACAGCGGAAGGAGAAACGCCUCACGCUCUCAUCCUCCUCCUCCUCCUCCUCAUCAUCAUCCUCCAGCCUCCGCCGCUAUGAUGCAGCAUCUCCUGCCACCAGCUGUAAUAAUGUGUUUGAGUGAGUUAGUUGAGGCUGAGUCGGAGGACUCCGCCCUGACAGAGAGAGCUUAUGAGAACCUGCAGAAGCAGGAUUUAGUCUCCCUGGGGAGUGUCCUCGCUGUCCUGCUGGUGCUGAUGAUCAUCAUGGCUAUCUGUGUCUACAAACCGCUGCCUCGUCGCUGAAACCCGGAGGGGGGACGGAGCGAACAGAGACAAGAGACACGGAGACAACCUGCUGACGAUGUCCUCCCCGGUGCGGAGUCGCACCUGCACCGGGGAGCCCCGGUAAAAUGACAAAAACACCUCGUGACCGCACCAGAAUGAAUGGAGCAGCCGACGUCUGCCACCUAGCUGCCAAGAAGCGUCCCUGAAAAUACCCAGACUGCACCUGUACUGCACAUGAUAACGCACAUGACGGCGGUCACUGGACUGUCUUUUACAUGUUUUUAGUGGUGUUGAUAUUUGCGUAAGUGGGAUCCAAAAACUGUGUCUGGCAAAACAACCCUCACUAAGUAGCAGUGUGGCUGUGGGAAACAUGGCAUCACAGACUAGUUAAAGUGAAGCUGGAUUGUUAUUCUGAGUAAAGAGGAGUUCAAAAUAUGAUCCUGAGAGGCUAGUGUGUGGUAUCUCAGAGGACAGGUGGAGGUCCUGAGCCACAUCUCAGGAAUCAGGCCAAACAUAUGGGCUAAGACAUGCUGGCUUUUCACAGAGGAUGAUUUCCAUAGUUUGAGAUGUGUGAUAGUACAAGAAUUCCACCAUGACCAAGGAAAAGCAGAACUCCAUUUUUCAGAGACAUGCCACACCCUCUGUUGUUCCUGCAUCCUUAUGAAAAAAAAAAAAAAGCAGCAGGUAAUGAGCACAAACACACAUCAAAGCUGUCUGAGAACGAUGUGGAGGUAAAACGAGUUACCAGGCUUCACACUAACUUGUAGAGGGAGGGUAAAUGUACAUUUUCAGAUAUCCAGCUUUUGGACCUCACCGUGUAUUUGUUAUCUAUUUAUUUUUUAUUUAUUCUGAGUCGACUAAUGCAAAACAGGUGGCACAAGAUCAGUAUAAAGUAUUUACACCUAUAAUCUGUGCCAUUGCCUAUACUGCGUACAGUGUGUGUCACUACUGUUUAUUUAUUUAUUGAACUGAAACCUCGUAAUGGUCUUACUCCGAGAGAAACGUGUGCCUCGAGUCUGCAACUAUUAAAGUGAGAUUACAAAACAA